rnacentral:lncRNA from 1 species
CAAACGUAGGGCAUCGCAUGUAUUUCACGAACUAAAAUGUCAGUUUCGUCGCGAUCUAGUAGCGUUUCGGAGUAUUUGUCUGAAACAGAUUCUCCCGCAUCUCAUCUGUUUAUAUAACAGCGAAUUCAAGCGAACUUGAUAAUGAACUUUUGCCAUUUGAUGAUACUAUUGCUGACUAUUGCUGGAGCCGCUUGCCUCGCCUGAAGAGGUAGCCGUGUACGAGGUAAGCUGUAGCAGAAGACGAACAGCUCAAAGAUAUGUUACAAAAUCGUUUUGAAGGCCAUGCAUGUUGAUGUAUCGUCUUGGUAAGUUUGUGUUCUUAUUUGCCGGAGUAAUAAAUUAAAACGUAUCUCUGAACUUCUAUUUUGCAUUUUUUAUAAGGUUUAAAUGUGGUCACUGCUGUCAACCUGAAGUAUGCCUACUAUGCCGAUGUUGUUAUUAAACAAGCAUUAACAUAUUGUGCGCGCCCAUUUAUUUAAUAUUGUAUAUUUUAUAGGUUCUCACGCGCAGUUUUCUACAGACAGCUUGUGGUUUGGUGUGAGAUUUUACGGGCAGUUCAAGGCAUCUCACAUUACCGUGUUGUUGUUACAAUAAAAUAUGAUCAACAUACCCGAAUACUGAUCAGCGAGCUUACAGGGAGUUUGAAAAAACAGCUCGAUGGCUCAUCCUCGUUUGUAUCAGUCUUGUUUGCAGUUUCGCCCAACUCGUUUAAAAUUUAAACCUAUUUUCAAUAAUAUGAGAACAACACUUGUCGCGUGAUUUAUUAAUUGUCUGGACUUAUCAGAUUAUGUAAAUAUGUAUGUAGCUAAAAUAUAU